rnacentral:sRNA from 1 species
CAGGUACUUUGCAAGGAGUGAUAGUGCAAGCUUUCCCACACUACCCUGUCAAUGUGCCUGGA